rnacentral:pre_miRNA from 1 species
AGUGUGGUUGCUGGGUCACAUAGUAAGUGUAUGUCUAACUUUGUAAGAAACUGCCAAAGUAUUUUUAAAAGUGGCUGUGCCAUUUUGCAUUCCCAUCAGUGAU